rnacentral:rRNA from 1 species
GACGAACGCUGGCGGCGUGCUUAACACAUGCAAGUCGAACGGUGAAGGGAUCAGCUUGCUGGUUCUGGAUGAGUGGCGAACGGGUGAGUAACACGUGAGUAACCUGCCCCCUUCUUCUGGAUAACCGCAUGAAAGUGUGGCUAAUACGGGAUAUUCUGCGCCUGCUGCAUGGUGGGUGUGGGAAAGAUAUUGUUUCGGUGGGGGAUGGGCUCGCGGCCUAUCAGCUUGUUGGUGGGGUGAUGGCCUACCAAGGCGGUGACGGGUAGCCGGCCUGAGAGGGUGGACGGUCACACUGGGACUGAGACGCGGCCCAGACUCCUACGGGAGGCAGCAGUGGGGAAUAUUGCACAAUGGGCGCAAGCCUGAUGCAGCGACGCCGCGUGAGGGAUGGAGGCCUUCGGGUUGUGAACCUCUUUCGCCAGUGAAGCAGGCCUGUCCCUUGUGGGUGGGUUGACGGUAGCUGGAUAAGAAGCGCCGGCUAACUACGUG